UCACUGGGCAAAGUUUGUCGC
rnacentral:miRNA from 1 species